UACGGGGGGGGCAAGCGUUGUUCGGAAUUACUGGGCGUAAAGGGCUCGUAGGUGGCCAACUAAGUCAGACGUGAAAUCCCCAGGCUCAACUUGGGAACUGCGUCUGAUACUGGAUGGCUUGAAUUCGGGAGAGGGAUGCAGAAUUCCAGGUGUAGCGGUGAAAUGCGUAGAUAUCGGGAGGAAUACCGAUGGCGAAGGCAGGUCUCUGGGCUAUAACUGACGCUCAUGCACGAAAGCGUGGGGAGCAAACAGG
rnacentral:rRNA from 1 species